CACAGAGGAGUCAGAUAUGAUUGCGUCGUCACGUAUCGAUCCGACCUGUCUCGUAUUGAUCCGGCCGACUGGUGCAGAAGGCCUGAAAUUGAGUUCAACUGCGUUCCACUUUAUCUGUGUGUGGUGGUGAAGGAGAUUAGAAUCCCAACGCGUGGUCUGAAUCCCAACCAAAGGAGUAAAUCCGGAAUGCAAACAUUGUAAUGAAUUCUGGGAUAAAUUUUGGUUGUGGAAGCAGCAGACAACACAGAUGCAACGAGUUCGCCUUUGAACGAUGUUCUGACGUCCUCCGAGGAAGAAAAACGUCGUCGGAUUGUGAGAAGAUUUGAGGGGAUUCCUCGGCCAACAAAAGAAACAUCCACAGGGGAGCGUUUGCAGGUGCUGCACAGAUGUUUCUGGAUUCUGAGUCAUGGGGAAGGCAAAAGAAUUGUCAAAGGAUCUGCGAGAAAAGAUCUGGUCCGUGGGCCUUGACUUUGACACACCUGAGCUAAGAGGAACCGAAAGUGGCGUCGGUGGGUGUUCCAGCUAACUUGUCGGGACACGUCUGUGGCGGGGGACGGCAGGAAGGGAGACACAGGUAGGGAUUACCCCCGGGCACAGGUGAGACGUGGUCGAGGUGUCCGGGCGGGUGGUCUUUAAGGGAUCACGCUUGUUUGUUUGUCGGCCAUUAGACGUGCCACAGCACUUUGUGGUGGGGGGCUGAGCCCGCCCUCCUAAUCCGGGCGGUGCAAUGACU